rnacentral:rRNA from 1 species
CCAGACUCCUACGGGAGGCAGCAGUGGGGGAUAUUGCACAAUGGGGGAAACCCUGAUGCAGCGACGCCGCGUGGGCGAAGAAGUAUUUCGGUAUGUAAAGCCCUAUCAGCAGGGAAGAAGAAAUGACGGUACCUGAGUAAGAAGCACCGGCUAAAUACGUGCCAGCAGCCGCGGUAAUACGUAUGGUGCAAGCGUUAUCCGGAUUUACUGGGUGUAAAGGGAGCGUAGACGGAAAGGCAAGUCAGAAGUGAAAACCCAAGGCUCAACCAUGGGACUGCUUUUGAAACUGUCAAACUAGAGUACGGGAGAGGUAAGAGGAAUUCCUAGUGUAGCGGUGAAAUGCGUAGAUAUUAGGAGGAACACCAGUGGCGAAGGCGGUCUGCUGGACAGCAACUGACGCUGAGGCGCGAAAGCGUGGGGAGCAAACAGGAUUAGAUACCCUUGUAU